rnacentral:telomerase_RNA from 1 species
UUGAGGAGGAUGUGUGGAGGUUUUCUUCUGGCUUUUCAAUCUAACCCUAAAUAGCCGUUAGCGGCUGUUGUGGCAUUCGCUGUUUUACUCGUUGACUUUCAGCGAAUUCAAAGAACUAAAAAACGCCAUCGCUACCAGGGGGUCUCCUCCUCCUCCUGCCGGCCGCGCGCUUCCUGGCUCUCUUCCUUUGGAGGCUCACGACCCAUGGGGCCGCCGGCUGUCCCUUACGAAGAGGCCGCGGUCAGCUUGGCCCGAGCCGCUGCUGCCGCGAAGGGUUCGGCCCUGUCAGCCUCGGGGCGGCCGGNGUGGCUGAAUGGGGGUGAGACGCCUCUGGGCAGGGCGGGCGCGAGAGGAAAAACGGGCGGCGCUCCCGCCCGGGAGCUGGGUCCGCGCACCCCUGAGCCGUGGGGCGAGCGAAGGACGUCGCCCGGACACGC